rnacentral:rRNA from 1 species
UACGUAGGGUGCAAGCGUUAAUCGGAAUUACUGGGCGUAAAGCGUGCGCAGGCGGUGAUGUAAGACAGUUGUGAAAUCCCCGGGCUCAACCUGGGAACUGCAUCUGUGACUGCAUCGCUGGAGUGCGGCAGAGGGGGAUGGAAUUCCGCGUGUAGCAGUGAAAUGCGUAGAUAUGCGGAGGAACACCGAUGGCGAAGGCAAUCCCCUGGGCCUGAACUGACGCUCAUGCACGAAAGCGUGGGGAGCAAACAGG